UAAUACGUAGGGGGCGAGCGUUGUCCGGAUUUAUUGGGCGUAAAGAGCGUGUAGGCGGCUAGGUAGGUCCGCUGUGAAAACUCGAGGCUCAACCUCGAGAGGUCGGUGGAAACCAUCUGGCUAGAGUCCGGAAGAGGAGAGUGGAAUUCCCGGUGUAGCGGUGAAAUGCGCAGAUAUCGGGAAGAAUAUCCGUGGCGAAGGCGGCUCUCUGGUACGGCACUGACGCUGAGACGCGAAAGCGUGGGGAGCAAACAGGAUUAGAUACCCUGGUAGUCCACGCCGUAAACGAUGGGUGCUAGGUGUGGGCGGUGUCAACUCCGUCCGUGCCGCAGCUAACGCAUUAAGCACCCCGCCUGGGGAGUACGGCCGCAAGGCUA
rnacentral:rRNA from 1 species